rnacentral:rRNA from 1 species
GAUGAACGCUGGCGGCGUGCCUAAUACAUGCAAGUAGAACGCUGAAGGAAGGAGCUUGCUCUUUCCGGAUGAGUUGCGAACGGGUGAGUAACGCGUAGGUAACCUGCCUGGUAGCGGGGGAUAACUAUUGGAAACGAUAGCUAAUACCGCAUAACAGUAGAUGUUGCAUGAUAUCUACUUAAAAGGUGCAAUUGCACCACUACCAGAUGGACCUGCGUUGUAUUAGCUAGUUGGUGAGGUAACGGCUCACCAAGGCGACGAUACAUAGCCGACCUGAGAGGGUGAUCGGCCACACUGGGACUGAGACACGGCCCAGACUCCUACGGGAGGCAGCAGUAGGGAAUCUUCGGCAAUGGACGGAAGUCUGGCCGAGCAACGCCGCGUGAGUGAAGAAGGUUUUCGGAUCGUAAAGCUCUGUUGUAAGAGAAGAACGAGUGCGAGAGUGGAAAGUUCACACUGUGACGGUAUCUUACCAGAAAGAGACGGCUAACUACGUG